rnacentral:rRNA from 1 species
UACGUAGGGGGCAAGCGUUGUCCGGAUUUAUUGGGCGUAAAGCGCGUGUAGGCGGCAGUUUAAGUCGGCCGUGAAAUCUCCAGGCUCAACCUGGAGGGGUCGGGCGAGACUGGAUUGCUCGAGGUGGGCAGAGGGCGGUGGAAGUUCCGGGUGUAGUGGUGGAAUGCGUGAGAGAUCCGGAGGAACACCAGUGGCGAAGGCGGC